AUUGAACGCUGGCGGCAGGCUUAACACAUGCAAGUCGAGCGAGGGGCGGACGGGUGAGUAAUGUCUGGGAAACUGCCUGAUGGAGGGGGAUAACUACUGGAAACGGUAGCUAAUACCGCAUAACAUCAGAUGUGCCCAGGUGGGAUUAGGUAGUAGGUGGGGUAAUGGCUCACCUAGGCGAAGAUCCCUAGCUGGUCUGAGAGGAUGACCAGCCACCCUGGAACUGAGACACGGUCCAGGCUCCUACGUGCGGCAGCAGUGGGGAAUAUUGCACAAUGGGCGCAAGCCUUAUGCAGCCCUGCCGCUUGUGUUAAGAAGGCCUUCGGGUUGUAAAGCACUUUCAGCGAGGAGGCGUUACUCGCAGAAGAAGCACCGGCUAACUCCGUGCCAGCAGCCGCGGUAAUUC
rnacentral:rRNA from 1 species